GAUGAAGAACGUAGUGAAAUGCGAUAAUUAAUGUGAAUUGCAGAAUUCCGUGAAUCAUCGAGUCUUUGAACGCACAUUGCGCCUCAUGGCAUUCCGUGAGGCAUGCCCAUCUCAGCGUUAGAAAAUAUUCUCAAAUUUUAGUUUUGUGCUAAAAUUUGGAUCAUGUCAAGGAAGCUAUUACUAUUAUUGAGAUCGCUCUUUGGAAAUUGAUAGGUCUUUGAGUUGCUACUCAUAGAACGUGAUGAAUCUUUCUUCGUUCUAUUGUAAUUCACUCUGGUAGUCCUAAAACUUGUAUGCCUGUGGCAUAUCUUGUAAUUUGACCUGAGAUUGGGUAGGGAUACCCGCUGAACUUAAGCAUAUCAAUAAGCGGAGGA
rnacentral:misc_RNA from 1 species